rnacentral:rRNA from 1 species
GGGUACAGGGGACACAGGUGGUGCAUGGUUGUCGUCAGCUCGUGUCGUGAGAUGUUGGGUUAAGUCCCGCAACGAGCGCAACCCUUGCCUUUAGUUGCUACCAUUAAGUUGAGCACUCUAGAGGGACUGCCGAUGACAAAUCGGAGGAAGGUGGGGAUGACGUCAAAUCAUCAUGCCCUUUAUGUCCUGGGCUACACACGUGCUACAAUGGUCGGUACAGCGAGCAGCGACUUAGUGAUAAGGAGCAAAUCUCUUAAAGCCGAUCCCAGUUCGGAUUGUAGGCUGCAACUCGCCUACAUGAAGUCGGAGUUGCUAGUAAUCGUGAAUCAGAAUGUCGCGGUGAAUGCGUUCCCGGGUCUUGUACACACCGCCCGUCACACCAUGGGAGUUGGCAAUACCCGAAGCCAGUGAGCUAACCUUUGGAGGCAGCUGUCGAAGGUAGGGUCAAUAACUAGGGUGAAGUCGUAACAAGGUAGCCGUAUCGGAAGGUGCGGCUGGAUCACCUCCUUUCUAAGGAG